rnacentral:rRNA from 1 species
AUUGAACGCUGGCGGCAUGCUUUACACAUGCAAGUCGAGCGGCAGCGCGGGGGCAACCCUGGCGGCGAGCGGCGAACGGGUGAGUAAUGCAUCGGAACGUAUCCUCGAGUGGGGGAUAACCCAGCGAAAGUUGGGCUAAUACCGCAUGAGCUCUGAGGAGGAAAGCGGGGGACCUGCGAGGGCCUCGCCCUGGGGGGGCGGCCGAUGUCCGAUUAGCUAGUUGGUGGGGUAAAGGCUUACCAAGGCGACGAUCGGUAGCUGGUCUGAGAGGAUGAUCAGCCACACUGGGACUGAGACACGGCCCAGACUCCUACGGGAGGCAGCAGUGGGGAAUUUUGGACAAUGGGGGCAACCCUGAUCCAGCCAUGCCGCGUGAGUGAAGAAGGCCUUCGGGUUGUAAAGCUCUUUCGGACGGAACGAAAUGGGCGGGACUAAUACUCCUGUCUGAUGACGGUACCGUAAGAAGAAGCACCGGCUAACUACGUG